rnacentral:tRNA from 1 species
AGGGAAAUAGCUCAGUGGUAGAGUGCAUAUUCAGCACACAUGAAGCCCUGGGUUCAAUCCCCAGCACCUCCA